UCCGGGCCGCGCCGCACCGUUCCGCUCCGCACCGCUCCCUUCCGCGCUGCCCUGGCCGGGCGAGCAGAUGCUUCACACCCCCCAGGGCUCGGGGGCUGCCGUCCAGCUGUGACCUCUCGGAAAUGCGAAGUAUUUCCAAGCAAGCGGACCUCUGCGGAGAGGUUUCGUGUGUUUCAUCUGUUUAGUUUGUACGCGGAUUAGAAUGGGGGAAGGCCCAACAGAGUAGCUAGCACAUUUCGGAAGUCAGUUUGUAUAGGCAGAUUUUACGGAAAGCGGAGACCUUCCCAAAACAAUUGUAGCUCGCCAUUUCCAGGGCUUUGGCUUCCCGUGCCUCACUAGUUCCUGUCUCAGCAGGCAAGAAUUUUACCGAGAGAGGGGACUGACUCUUCAAGCAUCUACUGACAAAAGGCUGAGUAUUAUGUUCUCAGCUGCUCCAGAUGGAAACUCUGACUCACAACCUGGGGGGCUGCAAGUGAAGUAAGGCCAAAGCACUUUCUGCCUGUCUGCAAGCUCUGAAGGGAGGCUUGUCCCUUUAGCUUUUGGUACAGAGGAUCACAGCUGAAUCUGAGAAUGGAGAGCAACUGCUAUGCAUACUGAAGCCCUGCUCCUGGGAAGCAGCUGAACAUCGCCUGCUGAUGGGAAGUGGAGAAUACCAUCUUUUGUUUUCCUUUGCUUCUCCAUGUGCAACUUCUGCUAUUGCUUUCAUUAAACUGCCUCUAUCCUGA